CGUGCACUUGUUCUUGCACCUGGAGAUCAGGCUCUGUGGAAAUUCCGGCGCUUCCCUCAGCUGCUUCUGCACACCAUGAGAACUGGGAGGCAAGGGAGAGGACCAAGAUGGAGAUGGCGAGGACGGUGGUGCUUUUUUUCAUCUUGAGAUGUACAGGACACCAGAAGCAGUUCAUCAGCUCUGAAUCUCUGACGCGGAGUGUGGCCGGAGACUCUUCUUAUAACUCCUGCAGUCUGCAGAGUAGUAGCUGCAGCUGCCAAGAUAAGGCAAGCAACUUAUUUGGCAACACGGCACCUGAUUCCGUUGUACCUUUUAUUCU
rnacentral:misc_RNA from 1 species